rnacentral:rRNA from 1 species
AUUAACGCUAGCGGCAGGCAUAAUACAUGCAAGUUGAACGGCAGCACAGGUAGCAAUACCGGGUGGCGAGUGGCGCACGGGUGCGUAACACGUAUGCAACCUACCCUAUACAGGCGAAUAACCUUUAGAAAUGAGGGCUAAUACGCCGUGGUAUUAUCUUGGGGCAUCUUGAGAUAAUUAAAGAUUUAUCGGUAUAGGAUGGGCAUGCGUCCCAUUAGUUAGUUGGUAGGGUAACGGCCUACCAAGGCGAUGAU